CAGACGAUGCGUCAUGCAUAUCAAUAAGCGGAGGAAAAGAAACUAACAAGGAUUCCCCUAGUAACGGCGAGUGAAGCGGGAAGAGCUCAAAUUUGAAAUCUUAAAGGGUUUCCCUUUACGAAUUGUAGUUUAAAGAAGUGUUUUCUGUUGAGGUUUUGGUAAAAGUUCUUUGGAAUAGGACAUCAUAGAGGGUGAGAAUCCCGUAUAUGACCUUUACUUUCAACUUUGUGAUACACUUUCAAAGAGUCGAAUUGUUUGGGAAUGCAGUCCAAAAUGGGUGGUAAAUUUCAUCUAAAGCUAAAUAUUGGCGAGAGACCGAUAGCGAACAAGUACCGUGAGGGAAAGAUGAAAAGAACUUUGAAAAGAGAGUUAAACAGUACGUGAAAUUGUCAAAAGGGAAGCGUUUGACACCAGUGUUGUUUUUCUGAAAAUCAAUUAAAGAACUGUUUAUGCUAAGCUGUUUAGACUUUAUCAGCUAAUCUGUUUAGUUUUGAGCUUUCCUUUAAUGCACUUUUCAGUUAACAAGUCAACAUCAAUUUCUUUUGCUGUAAAAAGCUUGAGGAAGGUGGCUUGAGAUUCGUCUUAAGUGUUUAUAGCCUCUUGCCUAUGCAGUCGGAGAGAUUGAGGUCUGCAGCGUAGAUCCUUCGGGGCUAAAUGCAUUUGUGCUAAGUUAUAGCAUUUUAUAGACAACUUGUUGACUAUGAUUUGUCUUGUAGCUUACUCGCUUAUGUUAUUUUACCUACGCUUAGGAUGUUGACACACGCGCGUGCUCG
rnacentral:rRNA from 1 species